rnacentral:rRNA from 1 species
AGAGUUUGAUCCUGGCUCAGAUUGAACGCUGGCGGCAGGCCUAACACAUGCAAGUCGAGCGGUAGCACAGAGAGCUUGCUCUCGGGUGACGAGCGGCGGACGGGUGAGUAAUGUCUGGGAAACUGCCUGAUGGAGGGGGAUAACUACUGGAAACGGUAGCUAAUACCGCAUAACGUCGCAAGACCAAAGUGGGGGACCUUCGGGCCUCAUGCCAUCAGAUGUGCCCAGAUGGGAUUAGCUAGUAGGUGGGGUAAUGGCUCACCUAGGCGACGAUCCCUAGCUGGUCUGAGAGGAUGACCAGCCACACUGGAACUGAGACACGGUCCAGACUCCUACGGGAGGCAGCAGUGGGGAAUAUUGCACAAUGGGCGGAAGCCUGAUGCAGCCAUGCCGCGUGUAUGAAGAAGGCCUUCGGGUUGUAAAGUACUUUCAGCGAGGAGGAAGGCGUUAAGGUUAAUAACCUUAGCGAUUGACGUUACUCGCAGAAGAAGCACCGGCUAACUCCGUGCCAGCAGCCGCGGUAAUACGGAGGGUGCAAGCGUUAAUCGGAAUUACUGGGCGUAAAGCGCACGCAGGCGGUCUGUCAAGUCGGAUGUGAAAUCCCCGGGCUCAACCUGGGAACUGCAUUCGAAACUGGCAGGCUAGAGUCUUGUAGAGGGGGGUAGAAUUCCAGGUGUAGCGGUGAAAUGCGUAGAGAUCUGGAGGAAUACCGGUGGCGAAGGCGGCCCCCUGGACAAAGACUGACGCUCAGGUGCGAAAGCGUGGGGAGCAAACAGGAUUAGAUACCCUGGUAGUCCACGCCGUAAACGAUGUCGACUUGGAGGUUGUGCCCUUGAGGCGUGGCUUCCGGAGCUAACGCGUUAAGUCGACCGCCUGGGGAGUACGGCCGCAAGGUUAAAACUCAAAUGAAUUGACGGGGGCCCGCACAAGCGGUGGAGCAUGUGGUUUAAUUCGAUGCAACGCGAAGAACCUUACCUGGUCUUGACAUCCACAGAACUUUCCAGAGAUGGAUUGGUGCCUUCGGGAACUGUGAGACAGGUGCUGCAUGGCUGUCGUCAGCUCGUGUUGUGAAAUGUUGGGUUAAGUCCCGCAACGAGCGCAACCCUUAUCCUUUGUUGCCAGCGGUCCGGCCGGGAACUCAAAGGAGACUGCCAGUGAUAAACUGGAGGAAGGUGGGGAUGACGUCAAGUCAUCAUGGCCCUUACGACCAGGGCUACACACGUGCUACAAUGGCAUAUACAAAGAGAAGCGACCUCGCGAGAGCAAGCGGACCUCAUAAAGUAUGUCGUAGUCCGGAUUGGAGUCUGCAACUCGACUCCAUGAAGUCGGAAUCGCUAGUAAUCGUAGAUCAGAAUGCUACGGUGAAUACGUUCCCGGGCCUUGUACACACCGCCCGUCACACCAUGGGAGUGGGUUGCAAAAGAAGUAGGUAGCUUAACCUUCGGGAGGGCGCUUACCACUUUGUGAUUCAUGACUGGGGUGAAGUCGUAACAAGGUAACCG